rnacentral:lncRNA from 1 species
UACAAACUUCAGUUUCAAAAUUUUCAAAUGAGAAAGACAGCAACCACAGGAGACGAGAAACUUGGAAUCGGAACAAAAGCAGUAACCAAACGACCACUCAAAUCUGUGCUCCUAUUCCAACUCCAUUUUCCCUUUCUAAAUUUUUUUUAGAUAUUUGAAGAAAUCAAAUAUUUGUCAAGCUCUCCACUCAAUAAAAUCUUUUCC